UAGCAUAAUAGUCAAUACUUAAAUAAAUAAAACACAAGCAAAUUAAAUCAAACUAAUGAUGAUUAAAUUGAAUUUAAAACAAAAUUAAAAGGAAAAAAAUGAGAAUAAAAACAAAACUGAGGGCCAAAAUAUGACGCGCGGAUAACAUGGGGACCAAAUGGGAAAUAUUCCUUUCCCUCAAAACGCUGCAUCUUGGCACGGAUCAAAUUGGAAUGAAACUCAAAAAGCGUGGCCAAAUUUAAAUGAAAUAAAAGAAUCGAUUUGAAUUACCCUGCGAAAGAAAAGGGACUGUUUGUGAAUUUGCCCAAGUGUUACAAAAGACGCGGAUCCUUCCCCGAGUCGGGUCACUGCGCGGGUCAUGGCCACCAAACAACGUUGUUUUGGCAAUGGACUCUAGCUCAAAAUGGCGUCGUAUUGUGUCAUUAUUUAAACCAAAAUUUACUUUUAAAAAAAAAGAAAAAUUAUUUGCAACAAACGUUUAAAAAAAAAACUGCUUCUGCCUCUGCUAGGGUUUCAGCCCUUAGCCUCCUUUUUGCCAUUCAAAGAGGCGCCAUCACCUAUCCGAACUCCGAUUGCCACGGAGUGAACAGAGAUCCAGCAGCCCCACUACAAAGGUAACCUUCCUUAUUCUUCAACUCUUGUCUCAAUGAGUAAACAAACAAAGAAAAGAAUUAAAAAAAACGAAAAAGAAAAUAAUAAAAAAAGAAAAAAAAACUCAGAUCACCUUUUCAAAACUUUUUGAUUUUGUU
rnacentral:lncRNA from 1 species